UUCCGGUUGAUCCCGCCGGAGGCUAUUGCUAUCGGUGUCCGAUUUAGCCAUGCUAGUCGCACGUUCAACGUGGCGAAAAGCUCAGUAACACGUGGCCGAACUGCCCUACGGAUCGGGAUAACCUCGGGAAACUGAGGCUAAUCCCGAAUAGCGCUCCCCCGCUUGAAUGCCGGGAGCGUGAAACGCUCCGGCGCCGUAGGAUGUGGCUGCGGCCGAUUAGGUAGACGGUGGGGUAACGGCCCACCGUGCCGAUAAUCGGUACGGGUCAUGAGAGUGAGAGCCUGGAGACGGAAUCUGAGACAAGAUUCCGGGCCCUACGGGGCGCAGCAGGCGCGAAACCUUUACACUGCACGACAGUGCGAUAAGGGGACACCGAGUGCGAGGGCAUAGAGCCCUCGCUUUUGUGCACCGUAAGGUGGUGCACGAAUAAGGGCUGGGCAAGACCGGUGCCAGCCGCCGCGGUAACACCGGCAGCCCGAGUGAUGGCCGAUAUUAUUGGGCCUAAAGCGUCCGUAGCUGGCCGGGCAAGUUCGUCGGGAAAUCCACGCGCUCAACGCGUGGGCGUCCGGCGAAAACUGUUCGGCUUGGGACCGGAAGACCUGAGGGGUACGUCCGGGGUAGGAGUGAAAUCCCGUAAUCCUGGACGGACCACCGGUGGCGAAAGCGCCUCAGGAGGACGGAUCCGACAGUGAGGGACGAAAGCUAGGGUCUCGAACCGGAUUAGAUACCCGGGUAGUCCUAGCUGUAAACGAUGUCUGCUAGGUGUGGC
rnacentral:rRNA from 1 species